rnacentral:rRNA from 1 species
UGGGGAAUUUUGGACAAUGGGGGAAACCCUGAUCCAGCCAUCCCGCGUGUGCGAUGAAGGCCUUCGGGUUGUAAAGCACUUUUGGCAGGAAAGAAACGUCACGGGUUAAUACCCCGUGAAACUGACGGUACCUGCAGAAUAAGCACCGGCUAACUACGUGCCAGCAGCCGCGGUAAUACGUAGGGUGCAAGCGUUAAUCGGAAUUACUGGGCGUAAAGCGUGCGCAGGCGGUUCGGAAAGAAAGAUGUGAAAUCCCAGAGCUCAACUUUGGAACUGCAUUUUUAACUACCGGGCUAGAGUGUGUCAGAGGGAGGUGGAAUUCCGCGUGUAGCAGUGAAAUGCGUAGAUAUGCGGAGGAACACCGAUGGCGAAGGCAGCCUCCUGGGAUAACACUGACGCUAAUGCACGAAAGCGUGGGGAGCAAACAGG